rnacentral:rRNA from 1 species
GACGAACGCUGGCGGCGUGCCUAAUACAUGCAAGUCGAACGCAGUGGGGACGGGUGCGUAACACGUGGGUAACCUCCCAUCAGAGGGGAUAACACUUGGAAACUGGUGCUAAACUGCUACUGAUGGAUGGACCCGCGGUGCAUUAGCUAGUUGGUGAGUUAACGGCCCACCAAGGCCACGAUGCAUAGCCGACCUGAGAGGAUGAUCGGCCACACUGGAACUGAGACACGGCCCAGACGCCUACGGGAGGCAGCAGUAGGGAAUCUUCGGCAAUGGGCGAAAGUCUGACCGAGCAACGCCGCGUGAGUGAAGAAGGUUUUCGGAUCGUAAAGCUCUGUUGUUAGAGAAGCGGUAUCUAACCAGGAAGCCACGGCUAACUACGUGCCAGCAGCCGCGGUAAUAC